AAUAAUUAUUUGUACGAGUGUGUUCUGUUUGUUUCCUUGCCAUUGUUGUGCUUUGCAUGUGCAUGUCCAUCCCGUUCUAGCAACAUACAGCCAUUGUUGUGCUUUGCAUGUGCAUGUCCAUCCCGUUCUAGCAAUAUACAGCCAUUGAAUAUGACGUUAAAAAUAUCGAUAAAGUUUUAAUGGCCUCAUUUUUAUUGUAACACAAGAAAAGCACAAAUUAGUGAAAUAGACUACAUGAUAAUAUAGGUAUGACGAGCACUGGCUACCCUGGUAUUCAUUAGAUAUCGAGGGUUGGGAUUUUCUUUCAGUAAAAGAAUUAUUUCAAAUU